rnacentral:rRNA from 1 species
AUUGAACGCUGGCGGCAGGCCUAACACAUGCAAGUCGAGCGAGCGGCGGACGGGUGAGUAAUGUAUGGGGACUGCCCGUUAGAGGGGGAUACCUACUGGAAACGGUGGCUAAAUCCGCAAACUACAGGAUAACCCAUCUGGGAUUAGCUAGUCGGGGGGGUAAAGGCUCACCUAGGCGACGAUCGCUAGCUGGUCGGAGAGGACGAUCGGCCACACUGGGACUGAGACAAGGCCCAGACUCCGACGGAGGCAGCAGGGGGGAAUAGUGGACAAUGGGCGCAAGCCUGAUGCAGCCAUGCCGCGUGUAUGAAGAAGGCCUUAGGGUUGUAAAGUACUUUCAGCGGGGAGGCGUUACCCGCAGAAGAAGCACCGGCUAACUCCGUGCCAGCAGCCGCGGUAAUAC